AUCGCUUCUCGGCCUUUUGGCUAAGAUCAAGUGUAGUAUCUGUUCUUAUCAGUUUAAUAUCUGAUACGUCCCCUACCCGGGGACCAUAUAUUAAAUUGAUUUUUGGAAUAGGGAGAUGGAAUAGGGGCUUGCUCCAUCCACUCCACGCAUCGACCUGGUAUUGCAGUACCUCCAGGAACGGUGCACCCCCC
ensembl:snRNA U2 U2 spliceosomal RNA